rnacentral:rRNA from 1 species
CCUACGGGAUGCAGCAGUAGGGAAUCUUCCACAAUGGGCGAAAGCCUGAUGGAGCAACGCCGCGUGGGUGAAGAAGGUCUUCGGAUCGUAAAACCCUGUUGUUAGAGAAGAAAGUGCGUGAGAGUAACUGUUCACGUUUCGACGGUAUCUAACCAGAAAGCCACGGCUAACUACGUGCCAGCAGCCGCGGUAAUACGUAGGUGGCAAGCGUUAUCCGGAUUUAUUGGGCGUAAAGGGCACGCAGGCGGUCUUUUAAGUCUGAUGUGAAAGCCUUCGGCUUAACCGGAGUAGUGCAUUGGAAAAUGGGAGACGUGAGUGCAGAAGAGGAGAGUGGAACUCCAUGUGUAGCGGUGAAAUGCGUAGAUAUAUGGAAGAACACCAGUGGCGAAAGCGGCUCUCUGGUCUGUAACUGACGCUGAGGUUCGAAAGCGUGGGUAGCAAACAGGAUUAGAUACCCCAGUAGUC